CUGGUGCCAGCAGCCGCGGUAAUUCCAGCUCCAAUAGCGUAUAUUAAAGUUGUUGCAGUUAAAAAGCUCGUAGUUGAAUUUCGGAAUCUGUCCGUCGGUCGGGCUUCACUGUCCGCACUGGUGUGAUGGGUUUCUACCUUCGGAAUAACCGGCAUGUCAUUAAUUUGGUGCGCCGGGAAAGCGAACCUAUUACCU
rnacentral:rRNA from 1 species